CCUACGGGGUGCAGCAGUGAGGAAUAUUGGUCAAUGGGCGCGAGCCUGAACCAGCCAAGUCGCGUGAGGGAAGACGGUCCUAUGGAUUGUAAACCUCUUUUGUCGGGGAGCAAAAGACGCCACGCGUGGCGUUCCGAGAGUACCCGAAGAAAAAGCAUCGGCUAACUCCGUGCCAGCAGCCGCGGUAAUACGUAGGGGGCAAGCGUUAUCCGGAUUUACUGGGUGUAAAGGGAGCGUAGACGGCAGUGCAAGUCUGGAGUGAAAGUUGGGGGCUCAACCCCCGGAGUGCGCUGGAAACUGUACGGCUUGAGUGCAGGAGAGGUAAGUGGAAUGCGUGGUGUAGCGGUGAAAUGCGUAGAUAUUAGGAGGAACACCAGUGGCGAAGGCAGCUUACUGGAGUGUAACUGACGUUGAGGCACGAAAGCGUGGGGAGCAAACAGGAUUAGAUACCCGAGUAGUC
rnacentral:rRNA from 1 species